rnacentral:rRNA from 2 species
GUCGAACGAACCAUCCUGAAGAUUGAAGCUUGCUUCAUGAUUCAGACCUUGGUGAGUGGCGGACGGGUGAGUAACACGUGGGUAACCUGCCCUAAAGUGGGGGAUAACAUCUGGAAACAGGUGCUAAUACCGCAUAACAACAGUCUUCACAUGAUCACUGUUUAAAAGAUGGCUCUGCUAUCGCUUUUGGAUGGACCCGCGGCGUAUUAGCUAGUUGGUGAGGUAAAGGCUCACCAAGGCGAUGAUACGUAGCCGACCUGAGAGGGUAAUCGGCCACAUUGGGACUGAGACACGGCCCAAACUCCUACGGGAGGCAGCAGUAGGGAAUCUUCCACAAUGGGCGAAAGCCUGAUGGAGCAAUGCCGCGUGAGUGAAGAAGGUUUUCGGAUCGUAAAACUCUGUUGUUGAAGAAGAAUAUGCGUGAGAGUAACUGUUCACGUACUGACGGUAUUCAACCAGAAAGCCACGGCUAACUACGUGCCAGCAGCCGCGGUAAUACGUAGGUGGCAAGCGUUGUCCGGAUUUAUUGGGCGUAAAGAGAAUGUAGGCGGUUUAUUAAGUUUGAAGUGAAAGCCCUCGGCUCAACCGAGGAAGUGCUUCGAAAACUGGUAAACUUGAGUGCAGAAA